CUUUUUUCACUUCUUUUCUUUUUCAAACACAUGACAUUUACUAUACUUCUUUUGUGAAAUCUAGGGUUUCAUUGUCUCAUUUUUAAGUUUGCCUUUUUUCUUCCAGCCACCAAGCUAGAUAAAACUUCUUUAAAGCACCUGAGAGAGAGAGAGAAAGAACACCUCCAGAGAGCAGCCUGCUGAUAGAACCUACUUCUUACAAUAUGCUUGUUCUGUUCUACAGUGUGAGAGCAAUAAAUUAUCAGACAUAGUGACUGAAGGGGAAGACGAAGAUAGCCUUCUUGUUCCAUACGAAGUGGGAGGUGAAGCGGCAAAGACGGGAAGAUUAAUUCAAGAAGAUAACUCAGUAGUUUACAACAUGGAGGACAAGGGAGAUCCUUGAAGGUGAGAAGCAGUUCUUGCAUGACCGGUGGCUAUCACCAUACAUCUGCUACUGCACA